UUCCUAAUACACUCCACAACCCUCUCCUAAUCCCUUCCCAUCAUCUAAGUAAGAUGUGAGCUCGUAAAACCCGAGAUUAGUUAGGAUAUCCUAGUAGCUCAUGUUGGCAGCAAGUUGUUGGCCUUGUAGCUUGAAAGUGGAGUGUUACAAUUGGAGUUUCUGGACUAAUAAGGUGCGGAGGAAAGGACAAGCUCAGGAUAGGAAAUCCCUUCAAGCAGCAAGUUAGAGAAUAAGGACGCUGCAUUUCAUGCUGCAGGUCCUGACAGACAGAGCAGAGGACCUCUUUAGUAGGACUAUUAGCUUCAACGGGUGUCAGCAAGUGCCACUACUCCGGACUUGCUAACUUUCGAUAUAUUUAUGUUAUUAUGAUAUAUGUUCAUAUGCACACUCUUAGAGGCUCAUAGACAUAGUGGGGUAUGUAGACAUUAUGUGGCUCAUAGACACAGUGGGGUAUGUAGACAUUAUGUCUGGCCCUGUCAGUCAUGUUUUGAUUUUGGUA